rnacentral:rRNA from 1 species
CUCAUUAAAUCAGUUAUGUUUAUUUGAUAGUACCUUACUACUUGGAUAACCGUGGUAAUUCUAGAGCUAAUACAUGCUAAAAACCCCGACUUCGGGAGGGGUGUAUUUAUUAGAUAAAAAACCAAUGCCCUUCGGGGCUCUUUGGUGAUUCAUGAUAACUUAACGGAUCGCAUGGCCUUGCGCCGGCGACGGUUCAUUCAAAUUUCUGCCCUAUCAACUUUCGAUGGUAAGGUAUUGGCUUACCAUGGUUUCAACGGGUAACGGGGAAUUAGGGUUCGAUUCCGGAGAGGGAGCCUGAGAAACGGCUACCACAUCCAAGGAAGGCAGCAGGCGCGCAAAUUACCCAAUCCCGACUCGGGGAGGUAGUGACAAUAAAUACUGAUACAGGGCUCUUUUGGGUCUUGUAAUCGGAAUGAGUACAAUUUAAACCCCUUAACGAGGAACAAUUGGAGGGCAAGUCUGGUGCCAGCAGCCGCGGUAAUUCCAGCUCCAAUAGCGUAUAUUAAAGUUGUUGCAGUUAAAAAGCUCGUAGUUGAACCUUGGGCCUGGCUGGCCGGUCCGCCUCACCGCGUGUACUGGUCCGGCCGGGCCUUUCCUUCUGGAGAGCCGCAUGCCCUUCACUGGGUGUGUCGGGGAACCAGGACUUUUACUUUGAAAAAAUUAGAGUGUUCAAAGCAGGCCUUUGCUCGAAUACGUUAGCAUGGAAUAAUAGAAUAGGACGUGCGGUCCUAUUUUGUUGGUUUCUAGGACCGCCGUAAUGAUUAAUAGGGAUAGUCGGGGGCAUCAGUAUUCAAUUGUCAGAGGUGAAAUUCUUGGAUUUAUUGAAGACUAACUACUGCGAAAGCAUUUGCCAAGGAUGUUUUCAUUAAUCAGUGAACGAAAGUUAGGGGAUCGAAGACGAUCAGAUACCGUCGUAGUCUUAACCGUAAACUAUGCCGACUAGGGAUCGGGCGAUGUUUCUAUCUUGACUCGCUCGGCACCUUACGAGAAAUCA